UUACGGUCAAAUCACGCUGAAACACCGGUUCUCGUACGAUCACCGAAGUUAAGCAGCGUAGAGCCAGGUCAGUACUUAGAUGUAAGCC